AAAUGGCACUUUUUAAAUGCACUUCACACGGUUCUCUGCAUAAGACACAACAAUCUGACAUAAAGUCACAUGUUUGCCAUUUCAAAACACAGCCAUUCAAAAUGACACCACAUGAGCUAAUUGGCCAAUACAUGUGCCACUUGGCCAAACAGCUCAAUGGUUAAAUGUUACCACUUCAAUCAGGAAGUAAGCACAUGUCAUUGAUCAUGUCAUCAACCAUGGGCUGACAAUGCGAGAGGCUGGACAGAGAGUGCAGCCCAACUUGAGCCAUUUUACUGUUGCCUGUGUCAACCGGACAUUUAGACUGGAGUACAGGACUGAGAGAUGCACCCAUGGUGAAGGAAGGGGCCAAAUGUUCACCGGGGUACAGGAAGCUGCCAUUGUAAACCUGGUUUGGGAAAAUAAUGAAAUCAGAUUACGAGAAAUUCAAAGCCACAUCAUCCAAGACAACACCAUAUUCAACAACAUUCAACGAGUCAGUCUGUCCACAUUGGCUCGCAUUCUCAAGUGAAACCAAAUCUGAAUGAAACAACUUUAUAAGGUGCCGUUUGAGAGAAACUCUCAAAGAAACAAAGAGGUCAGACGAGCAUAUGUGGAUGGAGUACUGGAAAUGGAUGCUCAUGCAAUCCCACAUGAGUUAAUCUUUAUAGAUGAGGCUGGGUUCAACCUAGCAAAGAGCAGAAGAAGGGGGAGAAACGUCAUUGGCCACAGAGCCAUUAUAGAUGUUCCUGGCCAACGUGGUGGGAACAUCACAAUGUGCGCUGCCAUCUCCAAUAUGCAUGGUGUCCUCCACCGUCAUGCCAACCUUGGACCAUGCAACACAGCCCAUAUUCUCACAUUUCUGGACAAACUCCACAACAUUCUCAUACCACCAGAGCGUAUGAAUGAUGCAGACCAUCAAAGAACCUGGUACGUUGUAGUAUGGGACAACGUGAGAUUUCAUCGUGCAGCCCCAGUCCAGAACUGGUUUGCUGACCACCCACCAUUUCUCGUGCAAUACCUCCCACCAUACUCACCAUUUCUGAACCCCAUAGAAAAGUUAUUUUCGGCAUGUCGGUGGAAGGUAUACGACCAGCAGCCCUUUGUGCGCAGGCCUCUUGUGCAGGCUAUGGAAGAGGCAUGUGAUGAGAUUGAUGUGGGUGCGAUUCAGGGAUGGAUAAGGCACUCAAGGCGCUUCUUCCCUCGAUGUCUGGCAAGGGAAGAUAAUGCCUGUGAUGUGGACGAGGCGUUGUGACCAGAACCAGCUGUGCAGCAAGAUGCUGCCUAAUUAUUUUUCUUGCCUUUUCUUUUUUAGUUUACAGGUUUUUUUGUGUUCAUAUUUUGGUUCAGUCCAAUGUAAAUAUAUCUGCUGUGCAUAUGUUGCACUGACUUGUUUGGUGAAAAAUAAAAAAUAAAAUGUUUCAACAGCAUGUGUGUGUAUCUGCAA